rnacentral:misc_RNA from 1 species
GAUGAAGAACGUAGCGAAAUGCGAUAAGUAGUGUGAAUUGCAGAAUUCAGUGAAUCAUCGAAUCUUUGAACGCACAUUGCGCCUUCUAGUAUUCUGGGAGGCAUGCCUGUUUGAGCGUCAUUAAACCUCUCUCAAGUAUGAUUACUUGGAUGUGAAGGAAGAGUACCUUAAACUUAAGGAGUGUUCUCCUUUGAAAUUGAUUAGCAGAUGGUAAUGUUAUUAAAUCCCUGAUGUUGUAAGAAAUAACAGUGGUUUUGUAGACUAUUAUCUAGCUUUAAAUUAUAAUUUUUAUUAUGGUUGACCUCGGAUCAGGUAGGGAUACCCGCUGAACUUAAGCAUAUCAAUAAGCGGAGGA